GGCCUCGGGCACCAUUUUAAAGACAAUCCACCUUUUAAAAUCCUCACUUUAAAAUCAAUCCUUUAGGGUCGUUAGC
rnacentral:tRNA from 1 species